rnacentral:lncRNA from 1 species
UACUCCAAUCUAAAUGUUAAACUUUCAGCACUAAUAUUUCCUUCUUGAACUAUUAAAUUGCUUCUAAAAUUAACCUAAACUAUUGAAAAUCAAGUCUAAAUUCCAUAUAAAAAAAAUUCAUUUCAAUCCAAUUAAUAAAUUGCUAAAGAUAUUUAAAAUACUUAUUGACCUUCAAAUUCCAAUUUUUGAGACCUCAAUCUACAAAAACCUUUUCACACUUUGAUCUAACUCUUUGAUUGAUCUCAAAAUUUGCACACAUACUAAUAAUAAGAAUAACAAC